CUGAGGACAUCACGUAUGAGCGACUCAUCAUCUACUUGAGGACAAGAAGGCAUGCCUCUGGACUUAAGGGUGCUGAGCAGCGGAAAGUAUUGCGAUGGGCACGCCAAUUCCAGUGGGAUGAACAGGAUCAGAAGCUGUACAGAGUGGACCAUGAUGGGAAGCCUCGGAAGCUCGUGGUGAGGUCAUUUGAGGAGGUUGCUGCUGUGUUAUAUCAUCAUCACAGCAGUCCCACUGCAGGGCAUUGCGGCUGGGUUACCACUUGUCAGAAUGUCUCCCCAGUUUACUAUUGGCGAAACAUGACCCAGGACAUCAAACAUUAUAUUGAAACAUGUAGUAAGUGCCAGCACUACACGCCAAUGAAGACAAAGGCCCCAGAGAUGCGUCCCAUAAAGGUGAAGGAGCCGUUGGAACUUAUAGGAGUCGACUUGGUCGGUGGGGCAAGCCUGCAAGGAUCCUGACUGAUCAGGGACGUGAGUUUUGUUCCUCGAUCAACGACGAACUCUGCAAGUUCUACGGGAUCCGGAGGAGUAUCACGUCUGCCUACCAUCCGCAGACUAAUGGACUGGCAGAGAGAGUUAACCAGACUCUGGAGACCAGGCUUUCCAAGCUCUGCAACGCGACCAAGACUGACUGGCCAAACUUCCUGGAUGAAGUCGCCUAUAGCAUCCGCACCCAAAAGCAGCGGACCACCGGGUUCACACCUUUCCGGUUGAUGUUUGCUCGUGAGCACCGGCCACUUCACCAGGUAACCACCAGUGUUUGAAUUAAUAGAAGAAAUCAUCUCCUAUUGGUUCCAUUAAAAUAUGAAGCCAUCACUUUCAAUCACAAGCCAAAAACAUAUGAAGAGUUGUUCUUGUGCCUAAUGACCAUAAUUUCAGUUCAAUUUAUUGAAAUAAUUAUUUUUAGGAAGAA